UACGUAGGGUGCGAGCGUUGUCCGGAAUUAUUGGGCGUAAAGGGCUCGUAGGCGGUUUGUCGCGUCGGGAGUGAAAUCAUCUGGCUUAACUGGGUGCUUGCUUUCGAUACGGGCAGACUAGAGGUAUGCAGGGGAGAACGGAAUUCCUGGUGUAGCGGUGAAAUGCGCAGAUAUCAGGAGGAACACCGGUGGCGAAGGCAGAUCUCUGGGCCGUUACUGACGCUGAGGAGCGAAAGCGUGGGGAGCGAACAGG
rnacentral:rRNA from 1 species